rnacentral:lncRNA from 1 species
UUCAUGAUAACUUCGGGNUUAUUGAGUCGUUCUCCAUUAAUGGGUCUGCAACAACAGGUUUCUUGAGAUACUUUUCUCUUAAUUGAACUCCAAGGGCUGCUUCGUAUUUAUUCUCAAUGAUUUUCUUGAUAGAAUUUUCUUUCAGUUUCUUGGAUGCAUCAUCUUCGAUCCGCCCCCAAUUGUUUUCAUUAUUAUUCAUAUUAGGUUUUUUGAUCAUCAUGCUUUCUUCAUCAACAUCAAAAAUCCCGGCCUCGUGCAUUAAUACAGGAAGUAGGAUUUUUGAUAAAAACUUGGACAUGGUCUUGCUCCGUAAUUAUCAGGGGAAAAAGCAGUGAAAACUCAAUUCAAGCUGAUUUUUGUUGCAAAGAAUAUAUGUAGAGAUUAACAAGGUUUUCCAGUAUUAUGAAAUAUUGAGUAUGGCUUUAAAUAUACAGAGAGAGAGUUUAUGGAGAUCAUCCAUUCGAGUGUAGCGUCUCAAUUAGUCAACAAAAUACCUCAG